CGAUAGGUCUCGAUUGCUGGAAUGCAUCGAGAUUUAAAGCUCCGGCGCCUAAGGAUGGGUCUGCGGCCUAUCAGGUAGUAGUGGGUGUAGCGUACCUACUAGCCUACGACGGGUACGGGUUGUGAGAGCAAGAGCCCGGAGAUGGAUUCUGAGACACGAAUCCAGGCCCUACGGGGUGCAGCAGGCGCGAAAACUUUACAAUGCUGGCAACAGCGAUAAGGGAACCUCGAGUGCCAGGUUACAAAUCUGGCUGUCGAGAUGCCUAAAAAGCAUUUCAUAGCAAGGGCCGGGCAAGACCGGUGCCACAGCG
rnacentral:rRNA from 1 species